AAAAAUUUAGUUAAAUUAUAACAUUAGCUUGUCAAGCUAAAAUUAUUAACCAAAAUUAAUAAUUUUUA
rnacentral:tRNA from 1 species